rnacentral:tRNA from 1 species
GGGGGUGUAGCACAGAGGUAGAACGCAUGCUUGGCAUACAUGAGGUCCUGGGUUCAACCCCCAGUGUCUCUG